rnacentral:sRNA from 1 species
GCUGGGCGUGGUGGCUCACACCUGUAAUCCCAGCAGCUUGGGAGGCUGAGGCAGGUGGAUUGCAAGUUCAAAGCCAGCUUCAGGAAAUUAGCAAGUCCAUCAUCAAUCAAAUUGGUGAGACCCUGUCUCCA